rnacentral:lncRNA from 1 species
AGAUUAAAGUUUGAUUGGAUUUAUUAGGAAUUACUUGAAGUUUAUUUAAGACUCUAUUAGACUUGGUAGAAUUGUUGUUGUAUUUUAUUUAUCUUCUAUAGCUAGGUACCCAAUAUAUUUUCAAAGAAGAAUACAUGUAAUACAACAAUAUGGAUAUUGAAUCAUUGUUAGGCUCAUUGAAGCAUAUCAUUAUGAAGAUUUGAUUUUAAGUUUACAUAUUGACCUAAAAAAUAAUAAGGUAUAUCGAGCAUACUUU